UACGUAGGGGGCAAGCGUUGUCCGGAAUCAUUGGGCGUAAAGAGCGUGUAGGCGGCCCGGUCAGUCGGUUGUGAAAGUCGAGGGCUCAACCCUCGAAUGCCGGCCGAAACUGCCGGGCUAGAGUCCGGAAGAGGAGAGUGGAAUUCCUGGUGUAGCGGUGAAAUGCGCAGAUAUCAGGAAGAACACCGAUGGCGAAGGCAGCUCUCUGGGACGGUACUGACGCUGAGACGCGAAAGCGUGGGGAGCGAACAGG
rnacentral:rRNA from 1 species